rfam:Nelumbo nucifera unplaced genomic scaffold scaffold00005, whole genome shotgun sequence
AUAAAGGCAUUUUUAAAUGCCACUAAAAAGUCUUAAUGAUUCCAU